GACGAACGCUGGCGGCGUGCCUAAUGCAUGCAAGUCGAGCGGGCUACAGUCUUCGGAUUGUAGCUUAGCGGCGAACGGGUGAGUAACACGUAGGUAAUCUACCCUUCAGAGGAGGACAACCUCAGGAAACUGAGGCUAAACCUUCAUACGUUCACUGGUAGGGAUACUGGUGAAGAAAGAGUUACCGUUGAGGUGGCUGCUGAAGGAUGAGCCUGCGGCCCAUCAGGUAGUUGGUGAGGUAACGGCUCACCAAGCCGAAGACGGGUAACCGGUCUGAGAGGAUGUCCGGUCACACUGGGACUGAGACACGGCCCAGACUCCUACGGGAGGCAGCAGUGGGGGAUUUUGGACAAUGGGCGAAAGCCUGAUCCAGCGACGCCGCGUGGAGGACGAAGCCCUUCGGGGUGUAAACUCCUUUUCUCAGGGAAAAGGAUGAUGGUACCUGAGGAAUAAGCCCCGGCUAACUACGUG
rnacentral:rRNA from 1 species